AACGAACGCUGGCGGCAUGCCUAACACAUGCAAGUCGAACGGGAACUUCGGGCUUACUCGCGCACGCGUGCGUAGAGCGGUGGAACACGCCUUAAGAAUCGGGAUCUCACUGCGGGAGGGGUGCUAAUACCGGCUAAUGUUUCCGGAUCACAGAUUUAUCGCCUUUGUAUGGGCUCGCGUUGGAUUAGCUAGUUGGUAGGGUAAUAGCCUACCAAGGCGUCGAUCGCUAGCUGGUCUGAGAGGAUGAGCAGCCACACUGGGACUGAGACACGGCCCAGACUACUACGGGAGGCAGCAGUGGGGGAUAUUGGACAAUGGGGGAAAGCCUGAUCCAGCUAUGCCGCGUGAGUGAUGAAGGUCUUAGGGUUGUAAAGCUCUUUUACCCGGGAUGAUAAUGACGGUACCGGGAGAAUAAGCACCGGCUAACUCCGUG
rnacentral:rRNA from 1 species